rnacentral:rRNA from 1 species
GAUGAACGCUGGCGGCGUGCCUAAUACAUGCAAGUCGAGCGAACAGACGAGGAGCUUGCUCCUCUGACGUUAGCGGCGGACGGGUGAGUAACACGUGGAUAACCUACCUAUAAGACUGGGAUAACUUCGGGAAACCGGAGCUAAUACCGGAUAAUAUAUUGAACCGCAUGGUUCAAUAGUGAAAGACGGUUUUGCUGUCACUUAUAGAUGGAUCCGCGCCGCAUUAGCUAGUUGGUAAGGUAACGGCUUACCAAGGCGACGAUGCGUAGCCGACCUGAGAGGGGGAGCGGCCAAACGGGAAGUGAAAAACGGCACAGACCCCUAGGGGAGGCAGAAGUAGGGAAUUUUCCGAAAGGGGGGAAAGCCUGAGGGAGCAACGCCGGGUGGGGGAAGAAGGUUUUCGGAUUGUAAAACUCUUUUAUUAGGGAAAAAAAAAUGGGAAAGUAAAUAAGCACGUCUGGACGGAAACUAAACAGAAAGCCACGGCUAACUACGG